UUCAAAUCAAAUCAGGAGACGAAGAUGGAGAUGAAAAAGCAGAAGACCAAGAUAGAAAGUAGCAUUACUAGCGACAACAAUCAAAACUUGUCGAAGAAUCUGAUCGUCGAUAUUCAAAGGAGGCUUGCGGGACUCGUCUUGCCGUUUUUUGACUUCCUCCUCGUCAUUAUUAUCGCCAGCACCUCCUUGCUCGGGCUCCAUGUCCUCGUCAUCAAACUCUAUCUCGUCUUCGUCGUCGGAGAUAAGAAGCAACACAAAUAUUGUCACUGCUG
rnacentral:lncRNA from 1 species